UACAGAGGGUGCAAGCGUUAAUCGGAUUUACUGGGCGUAAAGCGUGCGUAGGCGGUUCGCUAAGUCGGUUGUGAAAUCCCUGGGCUUAACCUGGGAACUGCAGUCGAUACUGGCGGACUAGAGUACGGUAGAGGGUGGCGGAACUCCGGGUGUAGCGGUGAAAUGCGUAGAUAUCGUAAGGAAGACCAGUGGCGAAGGCGGGUCUCUGGACAGUUCCUGACGCUGAGGCACGAAGGUCAGGGGAGCAAACGGG
rnacentral:rRNA from 1 species